rfam:Harpegnathos saltator strain R22 G/1 HarSal_1.0_3.contig5386, whole genome shotgun sequence.
CAAAUGGCCCUUUUCAGGGCCGCAAAUCUUUCAAAACGUGGGAAUU